rnacentral:rRNA from 1 species
UACGUAGGGCGCAAGCGUUAUCCGGAAUUAUUGGGCGUAAAGAGCUUGUAGGCGGUUCGUCGCGUCUGGUGUGAAAGCCCAUCGCUUAACGGUGGGUCUGCGCCGGGUACGGGCGGGCUAGAGUGCAGUAGGGGAGACUGGAAUUCCCGGUGUAACGGUGGAAUGUGUAGAUAUCGGGAAGAACACCAAUGGCGAAGGCAGGUCUCUGGGCUGUUACUGACGCUGAGAAGCGAAAGCGUGGGGAGCGAACAGGAUUAGAUACCCUGGUAGUCAAGGGCG